UACGGAGGAUGCGAGCGUUAUCCGGAUUUAUUGGGUUUAAAGGGUGCGUAGGCGGAUCGUUAAGUCAGUGGUCAAAUUGAGGGGCUCAACCCCUUCCCGCCAUUGAAACUGGCGCUCUUGAGUGGAAGAGAAGUAUGCGGAAUGCGUGGUGUAGCGGUGAAAUGCAUAGAUAUCACGCAGAACCCCGAUUGCGGAGGCAGCAUGCCGGCUUCCGACUGACGCUGAAGCACGAAAGCGUGGGGAUCGAACAGG
rnacentral:rRNA from 1 species